rnacentral:rRNA from 1 species
UACGUAGGGGGCUAGCGUUGUCCGGAUUUAUUGGGCGUAAAGAGCGUGUAGGCGGCCAGGUAGGUCUGCUGUGAAAACUCGAGGCUCAACCUCGAGACGUCGGCGGAAACCAUCUGGCUAGAGUCCGGAAGAGGAGAGUGGAAUUCCACGUGUAGCGGUGAAAUGCGUAGAUAUGUGGAGGAACACCGAUGGCGAAGGCAGCCCCCUGGGCCAAUACUGACGCUCAUGCACGAAAGCGUGGGGAGCAAACAGG